rnacentral:rRNA from 1 species
UACAGAGGUCCCAAGCGUUGUUCGGAUUCACUGGGCGUAAAGCGCACGUAGGCGGCUUGUUAAGUCAGGGGUGAAAUCCUGGAGCUCAACUCCAGAACUGCCUUCGAUACUGAGAGUCUUGAGUCCGGGAGAGGUGAGUGGAACUGCGAGUGUAGAGGUGAAAUUCGUAGAUAUUCGCAAGAACACCAGUGGCGAAGGCGGACUCACUGGCCCGGUACUGACGCUGAGGUGCGAAAGCGUGGGGAGCAAACAGG